GGAAACCGGAGCUAAUACCGGAUAAUAUUUUGAACCGCAUGGUUCAAAAGUGAAAGACGGUCUUGCUGUCACUUAUAGAUGGAUCCGCGCUGCAUUAGCUAGUUGGUAAGGUAACGGCUUACCAAGGCAACGAUGCAUAGCCGACCUGAGAGGGUGAUCGGCCACACUGGAACUGAGACACGGUCCAGACUCCUACGGGAGGCAGCAGUAGGGAAUCUUCCGCAAUGGGCGAAAGCCUGACGGAGCAACGCCGCGUGAGUGAUGAAGGUCUUCGGAUCGUAAAACUCUGUUAUUAGGGAAGAACAUAUGUGUAAGUAACUGUGCACAUCUUGA
rnacentral:rRNA from 1 species